rnacentral:rRNA from 1 species
GACGAACGCUGGCGGCGUGCUUAACACAUGCAAGUCGAACGGAAAGGCCCUGCUUUUGUGGGGUGCUCGAGUGGCGAACGGGUGAGUAACACGUGAGUAACCUGUCCUUGACUUUGGGAUAACUUCAGGAAACUGGGGCUAAUACCGGAUAGGAGCUCCUGCUGCAUGGUGGGGGUUGGAAAGUUUCGGCGGUUGGGGAUGGACUCGCGGCUUAUCAGCUUGUUGGUGGGGUAGUGGCUACCAAGGCUUUGACGGGUAGCCGGCCUGAGAGGGUGGCCGGCCACAUUGGGACUGAGAUACGGCCCAGACGCCUACGGGAGGCAGCAGUGGGGAAUAUGGCGCAAUGAGCGGAAGCCAGAUGCAGCAACGCCGCGUGCGGGAUGACGGCCUUCGGGUUGUAAACCGCUUUCGCCUGUGACGAAGCGUGAGUGACGGUAAUGGGUAAAGAAGCACCGGCUAACUACGUG